rnacentral:rRNA from 1 species
GACGAACGCUGGCGGCGUGCUUAACACAUGCAAGUCGAACGAUGAUCAGGAGCUUGCUCCUGUGAUUAGUGGCGAACGGGUGAGUAACACGUGAGUAACCCGCCCCUGACUCUGGGAUAAGCGUUGGAAACGACGUCUAAUACUGGAUAUGAUCACUGGCCGCAUGGUCUGGUGGUGGAAAGAUUUGUUGGUUGGGGAUGGACUCGCGGCCUAUCAGCUUGUUGGUGAGGUAAUGGCUCACCAAGGCGACGACGGGUAGCCGGCCUGAGAGGGUGACCGGCCACACUGGGACUGAGACACGGCCCAGACUCCUACGGGAGGCAGCAGUGGGGAAUAUUGCACAAUGGGCGGAAGCCUGAUGCAGCAACGCCGCGUGAGGGAUGACGGCCUUCGGGUUGUAAACCUCUUUUAGUAGGGAAGAAGCGAGAGUGACGGUAACUGGAGAAAAAGCACCGGCUAACUACGUG